AUGAAGAUGCACGCCGUGUCGCCGCCUAUAGACGUGUCCGUCGCUGUCCUCCUUGCACUCCAACAGCAGGAUCAACUGGCCAACAUGUGCGACGGCGGGCAUGCGCUUGUGUGUUCCCGAGGUCAGGAGCCGAGGAGGACAGUGGCUGCACAUCUACGGUUCUGGCUGGCAAAGCAUGGCUGCACCGUUAUCGAGCACACAGAUGGGCAUGCGUCCACUGCCGGCGCCAGGCGGUGGCCGACACUAGCUUGGCGUGGCAGUUCAUCUGUUGCCCAUGCGUGUCAGGUGAGAGAGGGGGAGUGCAUCCACAAGUGCAGGCUCAACAAGCACCAUGUACCAGCACAACUAUCGUCAUUAUGA
rnacentral:rRNA from 1 species